GGUGGUUCUCAGGUGAUGUACCCUGGAAUCAGGCUCCCUCCUCUCUGGUUCUGGGUGCGUCACCCAAGAACCGCU
rfam:Myotis lucifugus cont2.6597, whole genome shotgun sequence.